CUAGAACUCUUACUUUCACAACAGAAAUUCAGUGUUUUCUCAAUGCAGCAGUGGGACAAGGAUCUGAAAACGACGUCUCCCUGACUUUAGUACCUGACUUGACCUUCAGCUUGUACCUGUUAAAGAGUUAGCCUAUCCCCGGCUAUCUUUCCAGGCAUCUGACUUCCUGGCUCUGACCUUCGGCCUGUUAAGGUUUAUGAGACUGUCUUCACCCUUCCCUACAUCAGCACCUGUGCAUCAUCUGGUCCCGUUUUCUCAGGAGAGUGAACACUUCAUUGUUUCAUUUACUGACAUUUUUGAUGGUCCAUGGAGACAGCUGGUUAAAGCCUAACAGACAUUCUCCAAAGAAUAAAAAUGUAU